rnacentral:tRNA from 6 species
CGGGAUGUGGCUCAGCUUGGUAGAGCGCUGCGUUCGGGACGCAGAGGUCGGGAGUUCAAAUCUCCCCAUCCCGACCA